rfam:Schistosoma mansoni strain Puerto Rico chromosome 4, complete genome
AUCCAGCCAAUGAGUCCCAAAAAGGACGAAACGUGUGUCCUGGAU